GACAGAGGUGCCGAGCGUUAGGCGGAAUCACUGGGCUUAAAGCGUGUGUAGGCGGGCCCGUAAGUGUCUUGUGAAAUCCCACGGCUCAACCGUGGAACUGCUGGGCAUACUGCGGGUCUUGGGCCAACUAGGGGCAGCCGGAACAAGCGGUGGAGCGGUGAAAUGCGUAGAUAUCGCUUGGAACGCCAAAGGUGAAAACAGGUUGCUGGGGUUGUGCCGACGCUGAGACACGAAAGCCAGGGGAGCAAACGGG
rnacentral:rRNA from 1 species